rnacentral:rRNA from 1 species
GAUGAACGCUGGCGGCGUGCUUAACACAUGCAAGUCGAACGAUGAAGCCCAGCUUGCUGGGUGGAUUAGUGGCGAACGGGUGAGUAACACGUGAGUAACCUGCCCUUGACUCUGGGAUAAGCCUGGGAAACUGGGUCUAAUACUGGAUAUGACUUCUCAUCGCAUGGUGGGGGGUGGAAAGAUUUAUUGGUCUUGGAUGGACUCGCGGCCUAUCAGCUUGUUGGUGAGGUAAUGGCUCACCAAGGCGACGACGGGUAGCCGGCCUGAGAGGGAGACCGGCCACACUGGGACUGAGACACGGCCCAGACUCCUACGGGAGGCAGCAGUGGGGAAUAUUGCACAAUGGGCGCAAGCCUGAUGCAGCGACGCCGCGUGAGGGAUGACGGCCUUCGGGUUGUAAACCUCUUUCAGUAGGGAAGAAGCGAGAGUGACGGUACCUGCAGAAGAAGCGCCGGCUAACUACGUGCCAGCAGCCGCAGUAAAAC